rnacentral:rRNA from 1 species
AGUGAACGCUGGCGGUAGGCCUAACACAUGCAAGUCGAACGGCAGCACAGUAAGAGCUUGCUCUUACGGGUGGCGAGUGGCGGACGGGUGAGGAAUACAUCGGAAUCUACUUUUUCGUGGGGGAUAACGUAGGGAAACUUACGCUAAUACCGCAUACGACCUACGGGUGAAAGCAGGGGAUCUUCGGACCUUGCGCGAUUGAAUGAGACGAUGUCGGAUUAGCUAGUUGGCGGGGUAAAGGCCCACCAAGGCGACGAUCCGUAGCUGGUCUGAGAGGAUGAUCAGCCACACUGGAACUGAGACACGGUCCAGACUCCUACGGGAGGCAGCAGUGGGGAAUAUUGGACAAUGGGCGCAAGCCUGAUCCAGCCAUACCGCGUGGGUGAAGAAGGCCUUCGGGUUGUAAAGCCCUUUUGUUGGGAAAGAAAAGCAGCAGGUUAAUACCCCGCUGUUCUGACGGUACCCAAAGAGUAAGCACCGGCUAACUUCGUG